AACGCGAAGAACCUUACCCGGGUUUGAAAUGCAGUAGACGAUGUCAGAGAUGACAUUUCCCUUCGGGGCUGCUGCACAGGUGCUGCAUGGCUGUCGUCAGCUCGUGCCGUGAGGUGUUAGGUUAAGUCCUGCAACGAGCGCAACCCUUAUCGUUAGUUGCCAGCGAGUAAUGUCGGGAACUCUAGCGAGACUGCCUAGGUUAACUAGGAGGAAGGUGAGGAUGACGUCAAGUCAGCAUGGCCCUUAUGUCCGGGGCCACACACGUGCUACAAUGGCCAAUACAGAGGGCAGCGAAACCGUGAGGUGGAGCAAAUCCCACAAAGUUGGUCCCAGUUCGAAUUGUAGUCUGCAACUCGACUACAUGAAGUUGGAAUUGCUAGUAAUGGCGUGUCAGCUAUAACGCCGUGAAUACGUUCCCGGGCCUUGUACACACCGCACUACUA
rnacentral:rRNA from 1 species